rnacentral:rRNA from 1 species
GGAUAGACGCGAAACCUUGUGAUCUACCCAUGAGCAGGUUGAAGGUGGGAUAAUCUCCCACUGGAGGACCGAACUGGUAAACGUUGAAAAGUUUUCGGAUGACUUGUGGGUAGGGGUGAAAGGCCAAUCAAACUGGGAGAUAGCUCGUACUCCCCGAAAUGCAUUUUGGUGCAGCGUUAGGAAGAGUGUGCUGGAGGUAGAGCUACCAAUAGGGCUAGGGGGCUUCACGGCCUACCAACCCCUGAUGAACUCCGAAUGCCAGCACAUUGCACUAGCAGUGAGGCGUGGGGUGCUAAGGUCACACGCCGAGAGGGGAACAACCCCAGACCAACAGCUAAGGUCCCCCAAAUGAUAUCUAAGUUGAACAAACGAUGUGAGAAUGCUAAGACAGCUAGGAUGUUGGCUUUGGAAGCAGCCAUUCAUUAAAGAGUGCGUAACAGCUCACUAGUCGAGCGUUCUUGCGCGGAAAAUAAUCGGGCAGUCAAGAUAUCUACCGAAGCUUUGGAUUCAUAGUAAUUAG